rnacentral:rRNA from 1 species
CCGCGUGUGUGAAGAAGGCCUUAGGGUUGUAAAGCACUUUCAAUUGGGAAGGAAAACCUCAGGGUUAAUACCCNCUGAGCUUGACAUUACCUUUAGAAGAAGCACCGGCUAACUCCGUGCCAGCAGCCGCGGUAAUACGGAGGGUGCAAGCGUUAAUCGGAAUUACUGGGCGUAAAGCGUGCGUAGGCGGCUUUGUAAGCCAGAUGUGAAAGCCCUGGGCUUAACCUGGGAACUGCAUUUGGAACUGCAAAGCUAGAGUUUGGAAGAGGAGAGUGGAAUUUCAGGUGUAGCGGUGAAAUGCGUAGAGAUCUGAAGGAACAUCAGUGGCGAAGGCGACUCUCUGGUCUAAAACUGACGCUGAGGUACGAAAGCGUGGGUAGCAAACAGGAUUAGAUACCCUGGUAGUCCACGCCGUAAACGAUGUCAACUAGCCGUUGGCCCUCUAUGAGAGUUAGUGGCGCAGCUAACGCAUUAAGUUGACCGCCUGGGGAGUACGGCCGCAAGGUUAAAACUCAAAUGAAUUGACGGGGGCCCGCACAAGCGGUGGAGCAUGUGGUUUAAUUCGAUGCAACGCGAAGAAAC